ensembl:antisense Gm28379 predicted gene 28379
NNNNNNNNNNNNNNNNNNNNNNNNNNNNNNNNNNGGUCAUCUGACAAAUAUUCUAACAAAGAAAGUUACACAGUUCUAAGAUUCUACUGGCAUUCCAAAACACUUCCCAAUUGAUGAAACUGCAGACAGCUUAAUAGAGUAAAUGCUUUCAGAAAAAAAAGAAGUUUAUUCUCUAUGUAUCAGGUGGUGGGGGGUAUAAUCUGUCUACUCUCAACUGUCCAUAUGCACAACCAAUUAUACAUAAACCACACUAAGUUAACUUGAGUUCAUGUAUUUCAUAUUAUGGCAAUUUCAAUUGUACUUUGACAGUGUUUCACACAAACAAAAGAAUAUGUGACAAAUAAGACUAUGGAAGGAGAUCAUUUGAUAAAUACUGUAGAAAGUCUUCACCUAUUGCAAAUAUAAACACAUACAAAUGUACCCAUGUGUAGGUGCAUUAAGAAUAAGCCACAAAAUAUUGAUAAGAAUGACAUUCUGAACUCAAAUAAUUCAACGAAUGUCAAUCAAAUAUGGUUUGAUAUUUUUGGUUCACUAAGACAGUGAAAAUAAUUCAUUAUAAAAUAGAUGUUGCAAAAGAAGGCUCAAAGAUUUAUCACUAAACUAGUUACCUUUGUUUAUUUGAAACAAACUUCUAUUUCAUUCACUAACAACCUAAGGGCACUACUAGACAUAUAAGAAUAAUGGGUUACCACCCAAUAAAACAGUACAAGAGAAGAAAUUACAAGAGAAAGAAGAAACCACUAUUACAUGAGCUAAGAUUCGAGUGGACUCAUCCAGUAGUCUAAGCAAGAGUUAAAUCUAUGAAUCUGGACCUCAGGAAUAAGUCAGGACUAAAGACCAAAACUGUUGACAAGUGUAAUAUAGGCAUAUUAUUUCUAUCAUAAAUCUUUCAAGUUUGGAUAUGCCUAAAACAAGUGUAAACAACUCAACCCAAAAACUUUAUAUAUCUAUAACUUGAAAGCAAGAGUCCUUCUUUAGAUAUACCUACCAGUGCAUAACCCUCUUCAUCUGAUUCAGGCUGAGACAGAUCAGAUUCACUCCUUGAUUUGAUCAGUCUGUAACUUGGACUUGCAUGAACUAGGCGGCUCUCAGCAGUGAGACUUUCACUCCUGUCUCACAUACACAAAGAAAAGUUUUUUGGUUGGGGACUGUUAGUGAACAUAAAACUGAAUGGAACUAGCAACACAAAGACAAAGUACAGUGAAAUCAUUAUGUCUGCCCAUAGAAAGCUUGGCUCACGUAAUAAAUAAAGCCCUUUGGAAUUACAUCAAGUAUUUUUAUACGGUUACAUUACAGAAAGAUAUAAGUAAUUUUUGGAUGUUUGUUAACUGUGGCUGUUUAUAUGUAUGGAAAACUUCCUCCUCAUGGAACCAGAAAUUCACAUUCCGGGCUGAACCAGCACUACUGUUUAUUUUCAAUUCAUUCUGGUCAACUUGCAUUCCUUCCUCUGUCUGUGACACUACCAAACAGAGACUGUAAGAAGUACCACAGGGAGGAGAACAGCAUUUUCAGUUUCCAGUCAGGCCCACCUGGUCAUAAGUCCGGUGCCUUCAGAGGCACUCACAGAAGGCUGCUGUAACUGCCCUUCUUCCCUUCGCUUCUGAAGCUCAUCAAUCACAGGACUUACUCCUAAUAUUAGGAGCGCACAGCGGUGGAUCACAGAGUUGCAGGCAGCAGUGUACACAUCCUGCCCCUCAGGAAGGUCUGUGCUGACCCGUCGUUCCUGCUGAGACUGUGGAGGUGGGUCAUCAGCUCGGACCCCAGACCCUGCCCCACUGUUCAUUCUAUCUCGGUCUCGGCUACGAGCUACUUCUCGGGCUGAGAGGAAACACUGAAAGAUUUCUGUAACAUGCAACACAAAAACAAGGUCUUAACACAUGGGGGGAGAAAAGCAAAGAAAAUAACAAUGAAAAUAGUCAAAAAAUUUGAACCAAAACUUAGUGAAACAGGGAAAAAUCAGUUUUUAGGCAAGAAAUAUAGCAUAGUAAGAAAGUUACAGUAAAUGUCAUGCUUUUGAUAAAAACUGCAAUAGGAAAUGUGCUUAUACCUCACAGAAUUUGGAUUUGGAUGGUUCCACCUUGAAAGAGAGCUGUGCCAUCUUAAAACAUGUCAAAUUGGUAAACUGACUUAGGUGUAAUCACGUGAGAUCUGUGACUUUGGGAAGGGCCAUUUGGCCUGUCUUUUCCUCCAUGAAGCAAGUCAUGUAGCCUCUUUUAAAAGGAUACAUCCUUUUAGGAUCACAGCUAGAAAAUAGCUUUAACCCUCAAAGACUGCUAAUGGGGCUGCCAAGUCAGGCUAAGCAAACUCUCUAAAGUGACCAUCUGCCCUGUUUCCCAGAUUUCCUUACAACAUCUUGGAAUUUUCCCCUAUUCUAGGUAUCCACCUGUCCAGUCAUUUCUUAAUCAUUCUUUAUUGACAAGAUAUAAAAGCAUCAAGCUUUAGUAAUUUCUUUUCAAAUUCACUUUCUUAUGAGGAUCCCCAUGUACAUACAA